rnacentral:piRNA from 2 species
UUGAUGCCAAUCUGACAGUGACCAGCACUAC